rnacentral:rRNA from 1 species
CGGCAGCACGGAGAGCUUGCUCUCUGGUGGCGAGUGGCGAACGGGUGAGUAAUAUAUCGGAACGUGUCCAAUAAUGGGGGAUAACGAGUCGAAAGAUUCGCUAAUACCGCAUACGCCCUACGGGGGAAAGCAGGGGAUCGUAAGACCUUGCGUUAAUGGAGCGGCCGAUAUCUGAUUAGCUUGUUGGUGAGGUAAAGGCUCACCAAGGCGACGAUCAGUAGCUGGUUUGAGAGAACGACCAGCCACACUGGAACUGAGACACGGUCCAGACUCCUACGGGAGGCAGCAGUGGGGAAUUUUGGACAAUGGGGGCAACCCUGAUCCAGCCAUUCCGCGUGAGUGAAGAAGGCCUUCGGGUUGUAAAGCUCUUUCGCAAGGGAAGAAAACUUAUGAUCGAAUAAAUCAUGAGGUUGACGGUACCUUGAUAAGAAGCACCGGCUAACUACGUGCCAGCAGCCGCGGUAGUACGUAGGGUGCGAGCGUUAAUCGGAAUUACUGGGCGUAAAGCGUGCG